rnacentral:tRNA from 1 species
GGCCCCGUCGUCUAGCCUGGUCCAGGACACCACCCUUUCACGGUGGUGACGAGGGUUCGAAUCCCUCCGGGGUCA